UACGAAGGGUGCAAGCGUUACUCGGAAUUACUGGGCGUAAAGGGUGCGUAGGUGGUUUGUUAAGUCUGCUGUGAAAUCCCCGGGCUCAACCUGGGAAUGGCAUUCGGGACUGCAAGGCUGGAGUGCGGCAGAGGAGACUGGAAUUCCUGGUGUAGCAGUGAAAUGCGUAGAUAUCAGGAGGAAUACCGAUGGCGAAGGCAGGUCUCUGGGCUGACACUGACGCUCAUGCACGAAAGCGUGGGGAGCAAACAGG
rnacentral:rRNA from 1 species